UGUUCAUGUCAAAUGAAGUACAUAAACGUUUACCAAUCGUUCCGAACAUUAUUUUGGUAAUUACCAAUUCCGGUUUUGGUAGUUUAGGUAUUUUUCACCACUGGUAAAUGGUAAACCAUUUAGGUAAUGGUUUACCAUAGUAUAAAUACAGUGGAGUAAGCCAAAAAGGCUUCAGUACGACUUUACCCUGGGCAAGUGACAC
rnacentral:lncRNA from 1 species